GCAAGAUGAAAUUGUAAAAACCAGCAGAUUCUUAGAGAUAUCACAGGCAGAAAAAUCAGAUAAAAUAAGUAAACUGCCUUUUCAUCAUAACAUUCCUCCUUUUGUGGGUGUCUGGGCACAGUCAAACCUCAACUGAUUAAAUGUAGGCAUCUGUAUCAGAUACUGUGAGCUUGCACUCAGUGCCAUCAUGAGACUGAGGUGAUUCCAGGACAUUCGAGGUGUCUUCUGCUCAGUCCUUCAGUCCAUCCAGCCUGAAGAACUCCAAAGAGAGGAGAAUAUUGCUGUGUGAGGUGUUGUUUAUUCCCAGUGAAAGAGAUGGUUCCUGGACAAGGAAAGAGCAAUUUGAUAGCCUUUCCAUCCCUCAGCCUUUCUUUACAUGACAGAACUAUUGGCCCCCAGCUACACCAGGCUAAAUGAUGUCUCUGAAGCCACAGGAAUCCUGCCAUGGAGGACUCCUAAGUCAUGGAAGUGAACUCUUGUAUGGAACAGAGCACUGUGGGUGUUUCACCAGGCAUCUUACACCAUGUGGUGAUUGUUCUUUAUAACUUUCUAUGAUCAGUGCUCUGCCAUGGCAGUUUCCUGGCUGCCAGGUAAAACUAGGGGUAGGAUAUUUACCUAAAUUAAAAAAAAAAAAAUCUUAUACACAUUCCAACUACAACUGUCAAAUUGGAUGAUCAGAUAGAGAGGAUAAAAUCAGUUGCAUCAUCCAGCAGAGAAUUAAGUGUAGGAUUAGAAAAUGGUUGAUUGAAUAAAAUAUUGAAAGGGCUUGGAUAUCUUGGUUGGCCUCUGUCUUGCAAAUUAUAAUUGUGAUUGUAGUGAUAAUUGUGAUUAUGAUACUUGCUUUAAGCUGUGUAAAAAAUGGGAUUGUAAGUGCAACACAAAAAACAGAUGUGAUGUCUGUAAAAAAGCAAAGGGAGGCCUAUGAAGUCUGAUGGGGAAAACAAACUUCAAGAGCCCCAAAGGGGAGGAAAUGUUGCCAGAGGAGUAACUAUGUGCCUGGCUGGUGGAAAAUACAAUGCUUAUUCCAUAGGAUCAUGUUAAGAAUUAAACAAAGAAAUGAACAAGAACGUGCUCUUGAUUAACCAAGCGUCUCACAAAACACUGCACCAGAUUAGUUACGCCAACUCAGCCCAGUAUUUGGGAAGUGACACCAAGUUCAUGGGGAACUUUGGGGUUAACAACCACCAGGGACCACUGGAGGGACCUUUGGAUAAGAGAAUGCACAGGCCAAGGGGAGAGCAAAUGCUGAUGACUUCUGAGAAAUUAUUAUUAUAUGCAUGUUUCUUCUGGGAAAAC